GAAAUGCGAUAAGUAGUGUGAAUUGCAGAAUUCAGUGAAUCAUCGAAUCUUUGAACGCACAUUGCGCCCUUUGGUAUUCCUUAGGGCAUGCCUGUUCGAGCGUCAUCUAAACCUUCAAGCACUGCUUGGUGUUGGGUGCCUGUCCCGCCGGUCAAACCCCCACAUAUUCAAUGGUUGACCUCGGAUCAGGUAGGGAUACCCGCUGAACUUAA
rnacentral:misc_RNA from 1 species